UACGUAGGGUGCGAGCGUUGUCCGGAAUUACUGGGCGUAAAGAGCUCGUAGGUGGUUUGUCGCGUUGUUCGUGAAAACCGGGGGCUUAACCCUCGGCGUGCGGGCGAUACGGGCAGACUUGAGUACUGCAGGGGAGACUGGAAUUCCUGGUGUAGCGGUGAAAUGCGCAGAUAUCAGGAGGAACACCCGUGGCGAAAGCGGCUCUCUGGGACGGUACUGACGCUGAGACGCGAAAGCGUGGGGAGCAAACAGG
rnacentral:rRNA from 1 species